rnacentral:rRNA from 1 species
GUUAUAGGGUCAAGCGAACAAGUGCAUGUGGUGGAUGCCUUGGCGAUCACAGGCGAUGAAGGACG